rnacentral:rRNA from 1 species
GACGAACGCUGGCGGCGUGCCUAAUACAUGCAAGUAGGACGCAGUUGCGAACGGGUGAGUAACGCGUAGGUAACUACCUAUUAGAGGGGGAUAACUAUUGGAAACGAUAGCUAAUACCGCAUACUAGUCGAUGGACCUGCGUUGUAUUAGCUAGUAGGUAGGGUAAUGGCCUCCCUAGGCAACGAUACAUAGCCGACCUGAGAGGGUGAUCCGGCACAAUGGGGCUGGGGAACGGGCCAGGAUCCCACGGGGAGCAGCAGUAGGGGAUCUUCGGAAAAGGGGGGAAACCUGGCCGAGCAACGCCGGGGGAGAGGAGGAAGUUUUCGGAUCGUAAAGCUCUGUUGGUAAGGAAGCGGUACUUAACGAGAAAGGGACGGCUAACUACGUGCCAGCAGCCGCGGUAAUAC